UACGAAGGGUGCAAGCGUUAUCCGGAUUCAUUGGGUUUAAAGGGUGCGUAGGCGGGACAGCAAGUCAGCGGUGAAAUCCCGUGGCUCAACCACGGAAUUGCCGUUGAUACUGCUGUUCUUGAGUACGUUUGACGUGGGCGGAGUGUGCCGUGUAGCGGUGAAAUGCUUAGAUAUGGCACAGAACACCGAUAGUGAAGACAGCUCACGAAGACGAAACUGACGCUGAGGCACGAAAGCGUGGGGAUCAAACAGGAUUAGAUACCCUGGUAGUACCACGCCG
rnacentral:rRNA from 1 species